AUGGCAAGCAGGAGAAAAUCUACCACACCCUGCAUGGUUCUUGCCAGCGACCAGGAUCCAGAGCUGGAGGUGAUCUCUGAUUUGGAGGAAGGGCCCCCUGUCCUCACCCCUGUGGAGAACCCCCGGCCAGAGACCCUCUCCAGUGACGAGGACCUUCACGAGUCGGUGGACUCUGACAAUCAGCAACCCAAAAAAGUGGAAGGUGGCUAUGAAUGUAAGUACUGCACCUUCCAAACCCCAGAUCUGAAUAUGUUUACUUUCCACGUGGAUUCCGAGCAUCCCAACGUCGUGCUCAACUCGUCUUAUGUGUGUGUCGAAUGCAAUUUUCUUACCAAACGGUAUGAUGCACUUUCUGAGCAUAAUCUGAAGUAUCACCCGGGAGAGGAGAACUUCAAGUUGACAAUGGUGAAACGUAAUAACCAGACAAUCUUUGAGCAAACUGUAAACGACCUGACUUUUGACGGCAGUUUUGUGAAAGAGGAGCAUCCGGAGCUUGCCGAAUCUACGGACGUUUCUUCCUCCGGAAUCUCUAUCAGUAAGACGCCCAUCAUGAAAAUGAUGAAGAGCAAGGGAGAGAACAAGCGGAUCACCGUGCAUCAUAACUCAGUUGAAGAUGCUCCGGAGGAGAAAGAGAACGACAUCAAAGCAGACGAGGAGGAAACUGGAGAGAAGCCAAGUUCCUCGGCCUCGGAAUCGAAUCCCAAAACUUCCAUUCUGAGCAGAAUACACCCGCAUCCCACCGGCACGGUGGUGGCCCCGGCAGCAGUUCUUCCUGGACUAGCACAGGUGAUAACUGCCAUGUCUGCUCAGCAGAACUCGAACUUGAUCCCCAAAGUCUUAAUCCCUGUUAAUAGCAUCCCGACCUACCAUGCUGCAUUGGAUACCAAUCCCCUUCUGCUGAACACCUACAACAAGUUCCCUUAUCCCACCAUGUCGGAAAUAGCCGUUCUUUCUGCCCAAGCAAAGUAUACGGAGGAACAGAUAAAGAUAUGGUUUUCAGCCCAGCGGCUCAAACAUGGUGUCAGCUGGACCCCUGAGGAGGUAGAGGAGGCGAGAAGGAAACAAUUCAACGGAACGUUGCACACUGUACCUCAGACCAUAACCGUUAUCCCUACCCACAUCUCCACGGCAAAUAACGGCUUACCAUCCAUUUUACAGACAUGCCAAAUUGUCGGCCAGCCAGGUCUGGUUCUCACCCAGGUCGCUGGAGCAAACACCUUGCCAGUUACAGCCCCGAUAGCCUUGACCGUGGCUGGGGUCCCCGGUCAGAGCAGCGUACAGAAAAGCCAGGUGCCUGCGACCCAGCCUGCUGUGGAAACCAAGCCAGCAGCUGCAGCCGCCGGCGCCGCGGCGGUGGUCCCCGCUCCCCAGCUCGUCAAACACGAAACCGCUCUCACCAACCCCGACUCUUUCGGCAUUCGGGCCAAAAAGACGAAAGAGCAACUGGCAGAGUUGAAGGUCAGCUACCUUAAAAACCAGUUUCCCCACGAUUCCGAAAUCAUCCGGCUGAUGAAAAUCACCGGCUUGACGAAAGGCGAGAUUAAGAAAUGGUUUAGUGACACCAGGUACAACCAGAGAAACUCCAAAAGCAAUCAGUGCCUGCAUCUCAACCACGAGUCCCCGGCCACCAUCAUCAUCGACUCCAGCGACGAGACCACGGAGUCGCCCCCGGGCGUGACUUCGCAGCCCAGGCCGCCCUGGACCGCUUUCCCCGAGGUCACCCCGCAGAAGUUUAAGGAGAAGACGGCCGAGCAGCUUCGGGCGCUGCAGGCAAGUUUCCUCAGGAGCUCGGUGCUGACCGACGACGAGGUCCACCGGCUGCGAGCGCAGACCAAGCUGACGCGAAGAGAGAUCGACGUGUGGUUUGCAGAGCGCAGCAAAGCGCGGACCCUAAAGGAAGAGAAGACGGACGUGGAGGAGAGCAACGCAGGCAGCUCCAAGGAGGAAACCGAAGAGAGCCCCCCCGGAGAGGACCCCGGAGCCCCCAAACCAGCGAGCAGCGGCAAGGUGUGCAAGAAGUCCCCCGAGCAGCUGCACAUGCUCAAAAGUGCGUUUGUGCGCACGCAGUGGCCGUCCCCCGAGGAGUAUGACAAGCUGGCCGAGGAAAGCGGGCUGGCCCGCACAGACAUCGUUAGCUGGUUUGGGGACACCCGUUACGCUUGGAAGAAUGGCAACUUGAAAUGGUACUACUACUACCAGAGCGCCAGCGCCAGUGGGGGCAACGGGCUGUCCUACUUGAGGAGGAGGGGCCGAGGGCGACCCAAGGGCAGGGGCCGAGGGCGACCGCGCGGGCGGCCUCGAGGAGGCAAAAGACUGAACCACUGGGACCGGGGGCUGUCCCUCAUAAAGUUUAAAACUGGAACGGCCAUCCUGAAGGACUAUUACCUGAAGCACAACUUUCUGAAUGAGCAGGACCUGGACGAGCUGGUCAACAGAUCGCACAUGGGCUACGAGCAGGUCCGAGAGUGGUUUGCAGAAAGGCAGAGGCGAUCGGAGUUGGGGAUAGAGCUGUUUGAGGAGAACGAGGAGGAGGAGGAGGAGGAAGAGGAAAUUGGGGACGACCAGGAAGAGGACGAGGAGGAGACAGACGACAGUGACACUUGGGAGCCCCCACGGCACGUGAAGCGGAAACUUUCCAGAUCAGAUGACUGACAUGAAAGAAUUCAAAAAUGAAAACUAAAAAGAAGGGGAAAAGUAUACGGAAGGGAAGACUUCCCACAGGGCUGAGGAUUGCUCAGUUUUAGGAAACUAGCUGUCUAAAGCGUUGAAGGAGACUCAGUUCUUCAACUCAAGAUGUCAGAUGUACUGUGAAGGGGCCCAAACUUUGGUGAAACUGAGAACAUUUGGGGCGCACCCCUCUCAAACAAUAGGAUUCAAUCCCCACAAGAACUGGAACUCCCUGUCUGUUGUGCCAAAGCGAAACUGUCCCAGCUGGUGGGAGCUCUGCACUGUACAUAGUACACUACUUUAAGAACACCUUGUACAAUUCCAGAUUGUAAUACCACACAUUUUUAUUCUGCUCCGAUGGAGACACUGGGACCCUUAGACGGGAUCUGAUGACCACUCGAGCGUGUGCUCCCGGGCGUGGUCCAGCUCAGUAAGACUGUUGCCCGGGUUCUCGGAGAGGGUUUCAAGCGUGUAGCUUUAGGGACCAAAUAUUUUACAGAGUAAACACCAUUAGACACGGGGAGGAAAAGCAAUUUAUUUCCGUUUUAUUGAUCAGGCCCCUGCACGAGGAUUGAAGGUUGCACGUGGCCUUAUAUCAUUUCAAUGUACAUGCCACCACGGCCUACGUACACAUUGUGGAUCACUAAGACUCCUGGUAAUCCAGACCCUGAAUGACUGACUCUCACACUGAACACAUUCGCGGAUGCUUCUAGUCCUACAGCAAUUCUUCUGUUACUUUGUUUCACUAGGAGAUCUUUUUUUUUUUCUUUUUACUUAAACAGAAGAUAAUACUGAAGAAGGAAGAGAAACUGGCAUAUGGAUUUGCAUAGAGAGAAACUGAAAUAAAUGUACCAAAAAUGUGAAAAAGAAUCCUAGAGUAAAUAUGUACUUAGUGCUUUGGGGGGUUUGUUUUUGUUUUAACGAUCAUGUGGCUAGCCGAGAUGUUUGUCCAGGUGUCAGGCAAGAAUUUUCAAGAAUUAUCUGUCAGUGAAAUUGGUGUCACAGUUUCGGUGAGUGGAGACAAAUUGUGACCUGAGCCCGAGGGAAGAGUUAGCUUUUGGCAUAGGAAUCAUGGGAGCAUGAGCUAUAGUUAUCUCUUGCCUGCCGGGAGACGGAGCACUCACUAACUUAUUUGUCAAGACCGGUGCUGUUCAUUCCUGGUGAGAAGGACCUGUUCUUUUGUGAUGAGAGGACCAUUUUUCUAGGAGAAAGAUUCAGUUUAAUUCACUUUGGAAUUUAAAAAUGUUUUUCUGAAUGACCAGAGGUAGUGGGCUUGGCCAGUUUAUUUUACCUAAUUUAAUGAAUAAUAAAUGUGUUAAGCUCUUGGUUUUUACCUAAGUGUGUGUCCGCUGAUGAAAAUGUUCCAGAAAAGCCUUGAAAAUAUGCAUGCUGCUUUUGUUUUUAUGAACUUUUUUUCUUUCUUUCUCUUUUUUAAUGAUAGCUUUAUUAGGAAUUCCAAAAUGCUUCCCGCAGACAGCUGGCUAUGUGGGUGGCUUUUAUUCAUACUACUGUUAACGUUUUUUUUAAGAGAAGCAAUGUAAAGACUGUAACAACAUGAUGCACUAAACUUAUUUUUUCUUUUACACGUUUCAAAACCUCCUAAAGCACUCUGUAUGAUAAUAAUUAAAUUGCUCCCUUUUUUAAACCA